AUUGAACGCUGUGCGGCAGGCCUAACACAUGCAAGUCGAACGGUAACAGGAAGAAGCUUGCUUCUUUGCUGACGAGUGGCGGACGGGUGAGUAAUGUCUGGGAAACUGCCUGAUGGAGGGGGAUAACUACUGGAAACGGUAGCUAAUACCGCAUAACGUCGCAAGACCAAAGAGGGGGACCUUCGGGCCUCUUGCCAUCGGAUGUGCCCAGAUGGGAUUAGCUAGUAGGUGGGGUAACGGCUCACCUAGGCGACGAUCCCUAGCUGGUCUGAGAGGAUGACCAGCCACACUGGAACUGAGACACGGUCCAGACUCCUACGGGAGGCAGCAGUGGGGAAUAUUGCACAAUGGGCGCAAGCCUGAUGCAGCCAUGCCGCGUGUAUGAAGAAGGCCUUCGGGUUGUAAAGUACUUUCAGCGGGGAGGAAGGGAGUAAAGUUAAUACCUUUGCUCAUUGACGUUACCCGCAGAAGAAGCACCGGCUAACUCCGUGCCAGCAGCCGCGGUAAUACGGAGGGUGCAAGCGUUAAUCGGAAUUACUGGGCGUAAAGCGCACGCAGGCGGUUUGUUAAGUCAGAUGUGAAAUCCCCGGGCUCAACCUGGGAACUGCAUCUGAUACUGGCAAGCUUGAGUCUCGUAGAGGGGGGUAGAAUUCCAGGUGUAGCGGUGAAAUGCGUAGAGAUCUGGAGGAAUACCGGUGGCGAAGGCGGCCCCCUGGACGAAGACUGACGCUCAGGUGCGAAAGCGUGGGGAGCAAACAGGAUUAGAUACCCUGGUAGUCCACGCCGUAAACGAUGUCGACUUGGAGGUUGUGCCCUUGAGGCGUGGCUUCCGGAGCUAACGCGUUAAGUCGACCGCCUGGGGAGUACGGCCGCAAGGUUAAAACUCAAAUGAAUUGACGGGGGCCCGCACAAGCGGUGGAGCAUGUGGUUUAAUUCGAUGCAACGCGAAGAACCUUACCUGGUCUUGACAUCCACAGAACUUUCCAGAGAUGGAUUGGUGCCUUCGGGAACUGUGAGACAGGUGCUGCAUGGCUGUCGUCAGCUCGUGUUGUGAAAUGUUGGGUUAAGUCCCGCAACGAGCGCAACCCUUAUCUUUUGUUGCCAGCGGUCCGGCCGGGAACUCAAAGGAGACUGCCAGUGAUAAACUGGAGGAAGGCGGGGAUGACGUCAAGUCAUCAUGGCCCUUACGACCAGGGCUACACACGUGCUACAAUGGCGCAUACAAAGAGAAGCGACCUCGCGAGAGCAAGCGGACCUCAUAAAGUGCGUCGUAGUCCGGAUUGGAGUCUGCAACUCGACUCCAUGAAGUCGGAAUCGCUAGUAAUCGUGGAUCAGAAUGCCACGGUGAAUACGUUCCCGGGCCU
rnacentral:rRNA from 1 species